rnacentral:rRNA from 1 species
UACGAAGGGGGCUAGCGUUGUUCGGAUUCACUGGGCGUAAAGGGUGCGCAGGUGGGUUUGCAAGUUCGAUGUGAAAGCCCCGGGCUUAACCCGGGAAUGGCAUUGGAUACUGCAGAUCUGGAGGUUCGGAGGGGGGACUGGAAUUCUUGGUGUAGCAGUGAAAUGCGUAGAUAUCAAGAGGAACACCAGUGGCGAAGGCGAGUCCCUGGACGACACCUGACACUGAGGCACGAAAGCUAGGGGAGCAAACAGG